rnacentral:rRNA from 1 species
CUACGUGCCAGCAGCCGCGGUAAUACGUAGGGUGCGAGCGUUAAUCGGAAUUACUGGGCGUAAAGCGGGCGCAGACGGUUACUUAAGCAGGAUGUGAAAUCCCCGGGCUCAACCUGGGAACUGCGUUCUGAACUGGGUGACUAGAGUGUGUCAGAGGGAGGUAGAAUUCCACGUGUAGCAGUGAAAUGCGUAGAGAUGUGGAGGAAUACCGAUGGCGAAGGCAGCCUCCUGGGAUAACACUGACGUUCAUGCCCGAAAGCGUGGGUAGCAAACAGGAUUAGAUACCCUGGUAGUCCACGCUGUAAACGAUGUCGAUUUGGGGGUUGAGCUUUGAGCUUGGCGCCCGUAGCUAACGUGAUAAAUCGACCGCCUGGGGAGUACGGCCGCAAGGUUAAAACUCAAAUGAAUUGACGGGGGCCCGCACAAGCGGUGGAGCAUGUGGUUUAAUUCGAUGCAACGCGAAGAACCUUACCUACUCUUGACAUCCAGAGAACAUUC